UAUGUGAUUAAACAAAUACUUGUGAUCGUUAAAUAAAUUAUACCAUUAAAUAAAAGUUUACACGAAUUAAUAAAUUAAUUUGUAUUGUUUUUUCCCCAAAAUUGGUGGCAGAUAUAGAAUUGGCGGGACAGCACGGAACGUACGGGGAACAAAUUAACGACAAAGCACCAAUUCAGCGUUUGCAGUCGCAGGAGGAGAGGAGACUGACUAGCCUUUUUUCCCUCUCCUCUUCCCUGAUUUUUAGCCCCAUCCACUUAAUCUGACAUUACAAUUUUUUUUUUCAUUUUUUUUGCUUUUUUGGGUCUAUAAAUUUUAUUCCUGUUUUUAUUACUAGCAAUAUUAAUUAGCCGUUACUAGCCAAAUUUCUGACUGCUGCAUAUCAUAUAUAUAUAUAUAUUGGUCCUUUAAUCUUUGUAUGUAUCUAGCUUGUUCUAGCUUUAUGAUUGACACAAGCUUAGAUAAGUUCAACUUGAGCUGUUGAUCACUUUUCCUAUGUCUAUGUGCAUAUUUAUCAUUGUUAUGAUGUCUCUCAUUUUUUUUUUUUUUGGGGAUAAUGGUAUUGUUGGUGACAAAGAUUGUAGCAUUAAAGCAGUAUUAUGGUGGAGCUUACGUACAUAUCUAACCAAAUUAAAGAAAAGAAUAAGAAAAUUGUCGUGAAUCAUAUUGACAAGUAUUCAAAGUAUGCAAGUAAAUAAUGUAAAUAAUUAAAAGCUAAAGGAGCCAAAUGAAUAAUAUAUGGAAUAUAAGCUUGCACAGAGAGUGAUUAAGCUUUCACGUGUUCGAUUCUCGGUCUCUAAAUUAUAUUUUCAUUUACGAACAAUUGGUUGCUAUUUAUAGCUUUUGAUCAUGCUUCAAAAUUGUCUUGUUAAGAACUUUGCCAAUAAAAUUCAGUGGGAUAAAGACUUAAUUAAGGGAAACAGAAUAUAGUGUGCAUGUGUCCAGUUUAAUCUUCUAAGUUCUUCUUAAUAAAAACCAGGCUCUUUCUUAUUAGUGGUCUUUUUGAUGAGUGCUCUUUCUGAUGGUAACAUGUAUCAACUUGAUAAUCUAAUCAGUUGAUGCAAACAAAUCCAAUAUGCUAUCUCCUCAAACAUUGAUGUAGGUAGAGAUUUAGUUAAUAUAUUGGCAAAAUUAUCUAUAGAGCGUAUUUGCUUAAUGUCAAUAUUCUUGUUCUAUUGGAACUCAUGAAUAAUUUCAGUGAUACCGCUUUUUCAUGUCCCCUUUAAUACAUUCUCCUCAGAGUUGAGCUAGUAAGCAACAUUAUCUUCAUAAAUUAUUGUUAGGAUAUCUACUCUCAAAGAUAAUUUAUAGGCUCUCCGAAUAUGAUGAAUGACAAGUCGUAAUCAUAUACAUUCUCAACUUGUCUCAUGCAAUGCAAGGAUUUUAGAGUGCUUAAAGAAUGUAAUAACAAGAGUCUACUUUAUGGACUUCCAAGAAAUCACGAUACCAUUAAAAGAAAAAAAAAAAACCUUUUUUUUUUUAAUGAGCUCUAUAAGGAUUAAACAAAUAACUUGCAACAACAUAACCAAAAAAAAAAAAAAUCUGUCUUUUUUUUGGUUCAUUAAAAUAAAAAUAAUCUUGAAUCAAUUGUUCCUUAAAGAUAAUAAAAAAUGUGUUUAACAUCAUUCUAAAGUCUUGAGGUUGGUUUAGAACUAAAUUUAGCUAACAAGUUAAUAGAACAUGUUAUAUCUAGUCUAAUGCAUUUAGUUAAAUAAUCAAAUCACUAAUUACAUUUAGAUACGGUACCUCCAAACCAAGUAUCUGUUCAUUGUCCUCUUUGGGGGUACUUAGUAUAAAGUGAUUGAUGAAUAAAGUUCACAUUAAGUCCAUGCUUAAUCUGUAGCUCAAGACAGUACCUAGUUUUUCCCAAAUCUUUCAUUCCAAAUUCAUUUUUCAAUUAGUCAAUAGUCUUGGGAGCUCUUCUAAAGUUCAAUGAAAUUCAUGUCAUCGACAUAUCAUUCUUUUAUCCAGUAUUCACUAAGGUGAUUAUAUCACAUACAUAACAAUUGUUUUAACCCAUGCAAGGAUCUUUAUAACUUUUCGAAUAUACACUACAAUGUGAUGAUUGACAAGCUUUCGACACUUUAAAUCCUUCAAUAAUUUUCACACACACACAAAGAGACAAAACCAAAGUUGAGAAAGAUGAAUCAUAUGAGUCCUACUUAAUGCACAAAGCAAAGAAAGCAUGAUGUUUUUCUGAGGUUGGGUUUUCAUAUGAGAGUAGGAUACACAUGUUGAAGAUAUCCAUUCUCUAGAGGCUAUCUAUAAAGUUUGAGCUUUGCCAGUCUCUGGUCAACAAUCGACCAGAGACACUUGAAGACCUCAUACUUUUAGUCCCCGGUCUCUGAUUAAACCAUAAGGAAGGGAAGAUGCGAAACCUGAUUAGUACGACCCACUUUUUGAGUCUUGCAGACGAACAAACUCUUCAACAGGGUUUACUUUUCAAUUCAGUCAAGAAAGAAAGAUUGGGUAAACCUUAUCCCAUUCCACGUUAAGUGCCAAACUCACCUUGAUAAUGAUGAAUUCCACUAACAUUAUCUUGCCUUGAGUGACCCCUAUAAAAGGGAGUGUGAUUUUCAUUAGGAAAAAAUAUUAGAGAAUAAAAGAUUAUUAACUUUUUUGUUAUUGGGCUUAAGACUGAAUUUAAGUUAAAUCUCUUUCCCAAUUUGUAAGAAAAGCAUGUGAGUAGCAAUAGCAAAAUAAAUGGACUUUGAUAACUUAAUUUGGAGUUAAAGUGGAGAGCACUUGCAAGACUUUUUAAUUUCCUUCCACCGUCUUGUAAUGUGGCAGUCUCUGGCUUCUUUGUUAUAUAUAUAUAAAGACAAGCCAUCGACUUUUAGCACACAGAUGCAACAAAACUCGCAGAGAGAUGCAGGACUUUAGAGAUCUCAACUAGAACAUGGAUUCGAUUGGUUUUAUUGUUCUUAUUCUCUUUAUGUCUUUCUAAUUUUCUACUCUAGAGUUAAGGAUGAUGCCCUAUUCAAUGAAAUAAAUUUCUUUUUAGUUAAUUAAUUCCUUACAUGUAUGUUUUGAUGCUUAUGGUUCUUAUUUUGCAUGUUUAGUUAGAUAUUAUUAAAUCUUUUCACCAAUUUUGUUCUGUAUUAUUGAUCGUUAAGGUUAGUAUUUGACUAAAUCUAUACUUAGAAUAAUAAAGUUUACACGUUAUUAUUUUUUAUUUUAUAUUUCAUUAA
rnacentral:lncRNA from 1 species